UUUCCGUUGGUGAACCAGCGGAAGGAUCAUUACAGAGUUCAUGCCCUUCGGGGUAGACCUCCCACCCUGUUUAAUUACUAUUGUUGCUUUGGCAGGCUGCCCUCACCAUGGGGCGUCCGGGUUCCGCCCGCGUCUUGCCUGCCAGAAGCCCCCUAAUUCUGUGUUCUGUGUCGUCUGAGUACUAUAUAAUAAGUUAAAACUUUCAACAACGGAUCUCUUGGUUCUG
rnacentral:misc_RNA from 1 species